rnacentral:lncRNA from 1 species
CUCACACCAUCUGAGGGUAGCAGCAAUGAAGUAGAAGAAGCAGAGCAGUGCGGGGGAUCGGAGUACCUCUUGGAGUAAGUCCUCUGGCUUAUGGGACGUUGGCUCGAACCCUUUGGG